rnacentral:rRNA from 1 species
UACGUAGGGUGCGAGCGUUAAUCGGAAUUACUGGGCGUAAAGCGUGCGCAGGCGGUUUUGUAAGCCAGAUGUGAAAGCCCCGGGCUCAACCUGGGAAUGGCAUUUGGGACUGCAAGGCUUGAGUGCGGCAGAGGAGACUGGAAUUCCUGGUGUAGCAGUGAAAUGCGCAGAUAUCAGGAGGAACACCGGCGGCGAAGGCGGGUCUCUGGGCCGAUACUGACGCUGAGGAGCGAAAGCGUGGGGAGCGAACAGG